rnacentral:rRNA from 1 species
GCGUGCCUAANACAUGCAAGUCGAGCGGUAACAGGUGUAGCAAUACAUGCUGACGAGCGGCGAACGGGUGAGUAAUGCUUCGGAAUCUACCCUCUAGUGGGGAAUAACCAGCCGAAAGGUUGGCUAAUACCGCAUACGUCCUACGGGAGAAAGCAGGGGAUCGUAAGACCUUGCGCUGAUGGAUGAGCCGAAGUCGGAUUAGCUAGUUGGUGGGGUAACGGCUCACCAAGGCGACGAUCCGUAGCUGGUCUGAGAGGACGACCAGCCACACUGGAACUGAGACACGGUCCAGACUCCUACGGGAGGCAGCAGUGGGGAAUAUUGGACAAUGGGGGCAACCCUGAUCCAGCGACGCCGCGUGUGCGAAGAAGGCCUGCGGGUUGUAAAGCACUUUUAGUGGGGAUGAAAUGUGCAGGGUUAAUACCUCUGCAUUUUGACCUAACCCACAGAAGAAGCACCGGCUAACUCUGUGCCAGCAGCCGCGGUAAUACAGAGGGUGCAAGCGUUAAUCGGAAUUACUGGGCGUAAAGCGUGCGCAGACGGUUAUAUAAGUCGGGUGUGAAAGCCCCGGGCUCAACCUGGGAAUUGCAUUCGAGACUGUGUAGCUAGGGUACGGAAGAGGGAAGCGGAAUUUCAGGUGUAGCGGUGAAAUGCGUAGAUAUCUGAAGGAACACCAGUGGCGAAAGCGGCUUCCUGGUCCAGUACCGACGUUCAGGCACGAAAGCGUGGGGAGCAAACAGGAUUAGAUACCCUGGUAGUCCACGCCAUAAACGAUGAGAACUAGACGUUGGGGGGGUAAGCCCCUCAGUGUCGCAGCUAACGCGCUAAGCUCUCCGCCUGGGGAGUACGGCCGCAAGGUUGAAACUCAAAGGAGUUGACGGGGACCCGCACAAGCGGUGGAGCAUGUGGUUUAAUUCGAUGCAACGCGAAGAACUUUACCUGGUCUUGACAUCCUGGGGACCCUGAAGAGAUUUAGGGGUGCCGCAAGGAGCCCAGAGACAGGUGCUGCAUGGCUGUCGUCAGCUCGUGUCGUGAGAUGUUGGGUUAAGUCCCGCAACGAGCGCAACCCUUGUCCUUAGUUGCCAUCAUUUAGUUGGGCACUCUAAGGAGACCGCCGGUGACAAACCGGAGGAGGGUGGGGAUGACGUCAAGUCAUCAUGGCCUUUAUGACCAGGGC